AACGAUGAUUAAUACCGUAUACGCCCCAAGGGGGAAAGAUUAUCGCUAAAGGAUCGGCCCGCGUUAGAUAGGUAGUUGGUAGGGUAAUGGCCUACCAAGCCGACGAUCUAUAGCUGGUUUGAGAGGAUGAUCAGCAACACUGGGACUGAGACACGGCCCAGACUUCUACGGAAGGCAGCAGUAGGGAAUCUUGGACAAUGGGCGAAAGCCUGAUCCAGCCAUGCCGCGUGAGUGAUGAAGGCCUUAGGGUCGUAAAGCUCUUUCGCCAGGGAUGAUAAUGACAGUACCUGGUAAAGAAACCCCGGCUAACUCCGUGCCAGCAGCCGCGGUAAUACGGAGGGGGUUAGCGUUGUUCGGAAUUACUGGGCGUAAAGCGCACGUAGGCGGAUUAGAAAGUUAGAGGUGAAAUCCCAGGGCUCAACCCUGGAACUGCCUUUAAAACUCCUAGUCUUGAGUUCGAGAGAGGUGAGUGGAAUUCCAAGUGUAGAGGUGAAAUUCGUAGAUAUUUGGAGGAACACCAGUGGCGAAGGCGGCUCACUGGCUCGAUACUGACGCUGAGGUGCGAAAGUGUGGGGAGCAAACAGGAUUAGAUACCCUGGUAGUCCACACCGUAAACGAUGAAUGCCAGUCGUCGGGUAGUAUACUAUUCGGUGACACACCUAACGGAUAAGCAUUCCGCUGGG
rnacentral:rRNA from 1 species